rnacentral:rRNA from 1 species
UACAGAGGGUGCAAGCGUUAAUCGGAAUUACUGGGCGUAAAGCGUGCGUAGACGGUUAUGUAAGUCGGGUGUGAAAUCUCGGGGCUUAACUCCGAAACUGCAUUCGAUACUACCGUGCUUGAGGACUGGAGAGGAGACUGGAAUUUACGGUGUAGCGGUGAAAUGCGUAGAUAUCGUAAGGAAGACCAGUGGCGAAGGCGGGUCUCUGGACAGUUCCUGACGCUGAGGCACGAAGGCCAGGGGAGCAAACGGG